CCCAGUUCGGAUUGUAGUCUGCAACCCGACUACAUGAAGCUGGAGUCGCUAGUAAUCGCGGAUCAGAAUGCCGCGGUGAAUACGUUCCCGGGUCUUGUACACACCGCCCGUCACACCAUGGGAGUCGGAAAUGCCCGAAGUCUGUGACCUAACCGUAAGGAAGGAGCAGCCGAAGGCAGGUCGGAUGACUGGGGUGAAGUCGUAACAAGGUAGC
rnacentral:rRNA from 1 species